rnacentral:rRNA from 1 species
UACAGAGGGGGCGAGCGUUAUUCGGAAUUAUUGGGCGUAAAGGGCGCGUAGGCGGCCUGGCAAGUGACGGGUGAAAUCCCUCGGCUUAACCGAGGAACUGCCUGUCAUACUGGCUGGGCUGGAGUACGGCAGAGGAGACUGGAAUUCCCGGUGUAGCGGUGAAAUGCGCAGAUAUCGGGAGGAACACCGGUGGCGAAGGCGGGUCUCUGGGCGAGUAACUGACGCUGGAGGAGCGAAAGCGUGGGGAGCGAACAGG